rnacentral:rRNA from 1 species
AUUGAACGCUGGCGGCAUGCUUUACACAUGCAAGUCGAACGGUAACAGGCCGCAAGGUGCUGACGAGUGGCGAACGGGUGCGUAAUGCAUCGGAACGUGCCCAGUCGUGGGGGAUAACUAUUCGAAAGAGUAGCUAAUACCGCAUACGAUCUAUGGAUGAAAGCGGGGGACCGUAAGGCCUCGCGCGAUUGGAGCGGCCGAUGUCAGAUUAGGUAGUUGGUGGGGUAAAGGCUCACCAAGCCAACGAUCUGUAGCUGGUCUGAGAGGACGACCAGCCACACUGGGACUGAGACACGGCCCAGACUCCUACGGGAGGCAGCAGUGGGGAAUUUUGGACAAUGGGCGCAAGCCUGAUCCAGCAAUGCCGCGUGCAGGAAGAAGGCCUUCGGGUUGUAAACUGCUUUUGUACGGAACGAAACGGCUCUGGUUAAUACCCGGGGCUAAUGACGGUACCGUAAGAAUAAGCACCGGCUAACUACGUG